rnacentral:rRNA from 1 species
GGGGAUGACGUCAAAUCAUCAUGCCCCUUAUGUUCUGGGCUACACACGUGCUACAAUGGCCGGUACAGAGAGACGCAAUGUCGUGAGGCGGAGCAAAACUCCAAAACCGGUCCCAGUUCGGAUUGCAGGCUGCAACUCGCCUGCAUGAAGUCGGAGUUGCUAGUAAUCGCGAAUCAGAAUGUCGCGGUGAAUGCGUUCCCGGGUCUU